AAUUCUCAACCUCCUUGGUUUCUUCUGGAGACUGAAGGAGGCUUGGACUUUGGAGGCCUUUGCUGGCAUCACUUGCCAGCUCCUCUUAAACGAAUUAGCGGGGUCCUCUUUGCCGACCCUCGACAUGUGAUAAGAUGUUUCCAUGUCUUGGCUUCUGGCUCUGUCACCUUUUGGUUGGGACCUGCUUCUAACCGUCUUUGUGAAGACAACGUUCGAGCUCGUCUCCCUUCUCGGGAAACCCCCUCGACCUCACGAAC
rnacentral:misc_RNA from 1 species